rnacentral:rRNA from 1 species
AUUGAACGCUGGCGGAAUGCUUUACACAUGCAAGUCGAACGGCAGCACGGACUUCGGUCCGGUGGCGAGUGGCGAACGGGUGAGUAAUGUAUCGGAACGUGCCCAGUCGUGGGGGAUAACGUAGUGAAAAUUACGCUAAUACCGCAUACGAUCUAUGGAUGAAAGCGGGGGAUCGCAAGACCUCGCGCGAUUGGAGCGGCCGAUAUCAGAUUAGGUAGUUGGUGGGGUAAAGGCCCACCAAGCCAACGAUCUGUAGCUGGUAUGAGAGGACGACCAGCCACACUGGAACUGAGACACGGUCCAGACUCCUACGGGAGGCAGCAGUGGGGAAUUUUGGACAAUGGGCGAAAGCCUGAUCCAGCCAUUCCGCGUGCAGGAUCAAGGCCCUCGGGUUGUAAACUGCUUUUGUACAGAACGAAAAGGUUUCUACUAAUACUAGGAGCUCAUGACGGUACUGUAAGAAUAAGCACCGGCUAACUACGUGCCAGCAGCCGCGGUAA